GACGAACGCUGGCGGCGUGCCUAAUACAUGCAAGUAGAACGCUGAAGGAGGAGCUUGCUUCUCUGGAUGAGUUGCGAACGGGUGAGUAACGCGUAGGUAACCUGCCUUGUAGCGGGGGAUAACUAUUGGAAACGAUAGCUAAUACCGCAUAAUAGUAGAUGUUGCAUGACAUUUGCUUAAAAGGUGCAAUUGCAUCACUACCAGAUGGACCUGCGUUGUAUUAGCUAGUUGGUGGGGUAACGGCUCACCAAGGCGACGAUACAUAGCCGACCUGAGAGGGUGAGUAGCCGCACUGGGACGGAGACACGGCCCAGAGUGCUACAGGAGGCGGCAGUAGGGAUUCGUCGGCAAUGGGCGGGAGUCUGACCGAGAAACGCCGCGGGAGUGAAGAAGGUUUUCGGAUCGUGAAGGACUGUUGUAAGGGAGGAACGCGUGUGAGAGUGGAAAGUACACACUGUGACGGUAUCUUACCAGAAAGGGACGGCUAACUACGUG
rnacentral:rRNA from 1 species